rnacentral:tRNA from 1 species
UCCGGUCAAGCGCACUGGGUGUGUGCAUCCGACUGUUAAUCGGACCGCGGCUGGUUCGAAUCCAGCGACCGGAGCCA